rnacentral:tRNA from 1 species
UCCGAUGUAGUCUAGUAGUUAUGAUUUGUGACUCUCACCCGCAAGGCCCGGGUUCGAUUCCCGGCAUCGGAA